CAGCGAAGGGAGCAGCCGGACACAACAAGUGUGGCAAAGGAGGACAAGGGGGAAAGUGAGGACCAGCAGGAGGCCUGGGACUUGAAAUGCUACUGAAAGGCAGAAGGGGAGAGGAGACUGAUACCAGGAAAGGAACUGUACAGAUGGGAAUUGCACAUGUGAGAAGGGAAGGCAACUGAGGCUGUUGAUGGGGCAAGGAAGUUCAGGAUGCCUUUCAUGAGCAAACUUUGAGUCCAAGAAGGUUUAUGCUGAACUCUCAAACAUAUGCUGUUCAAAUGGUGUGAAAUAUUGAGUGAAGCAUGCUCAUCUUUCACUAACUGGAGUAAAGGCUUUUUACUUUGCUGUAUCUCUGCCCCCUGAGCCCUGGAGAAGUCAUGGAGUUCCUUGGCUGCCCUGAAAUCAGCAGGUACUGAAGGAAAUGGUGUUGGGUACUCAGGGGUGGCUUUCUGUUCAGGCAUGACCUGAGCAAAAGGAUU
rnacentral:lncRNA from 1 species